UGGGGAAUUUUGCACAAUGGGGGAAACCCUGAUGCAGCGACGCCGCGUGAUUUAGAAGGCCUUCGGGUUGUAAAAAUCUUUUCUAUGGGAAGAAAAUGACAGUACCAUAGGAAUAAGGACAGGCUAAUUACGUGUCAGCAGCCGCGGUAAUACGUAAGGUCUGAGCGUUUUCCGGAAUCAUUGGGCGUAAAGGGUACGUAGGCGGGUAAGCAAGUUAGAAGUGAAAUCCUAUAGCUCAACUAUAGUAAGCUUUUAAAACUGCUCAUCUUGAGGUAUGGAAGGGAAAGUGGAAUUCCUAGUGUAGCGGUGAAAAGCGCAGAUAUUAGGAGGAAUACCGGUGGCGAAGGCGACUUUCUGGCCAUGACCUGACGCUGAGGUACGAAAGCGUGGGUAGCAAACAGG
rnacentral:rRNA from 1 species